CUCGAGUGGCGAACGGGUGAGUAACACGUGGGUGAUCUGCCCUGCACUUCGGGAUAAGCCUGGGAAACUGGGUCUAAUACCGGAUAGGAGCCAUUUUUAGUGUGAUGGUUGGAAAGUUUUUUCGGUGUAGGAUGAGCUCGCGGCCUAUCAGCUUGUUGGUGGGGUAAUGGCCUACCAAGGCGGCGACGGGUAGCCGGCCUGAGAGGGUGGACGGCCACAUUGGGACUGAGAUACGGCCCAGACUCCUACGGGAGGCAGCAGUGGGGAAUAUUGCACAAUGGGCGCAAGCCUGGUGCAGCGACGCCGCGUGGGGGAUGACGGCCUUCGGGUUGUAAACUCCUUUCGCUAGGGACGAAGCUUUUUGUGACGGUACCUAGAUAAGAAGCACCGGCUAACUACGUGCCAGCAGCCGCGGUAAUACGUAGGGUGCGAGCGUUGUCCGGAAUUACUGGGCGUAAAGGGCUCGUAGGUGGUUUGUCGCGUCGUCUGUGAAAUUCCGGGGCUUAACUCCGGGCGUGCAGGCGAUACGGGCAUAACUUGAGUACUGUAGGGGUAACUGGAAUUCCUGGUGUAGCGGUGAAAUGCGCAGAUAUCAGGAGGAACACCGAUGGCGAAGGCAGGUUACUGGGCAGUUACUGACGCUGAGGAGCGAAAGCAUGGGUAGCGAACAGGAUUA
rnacentral:rRNA from 1 species